rnacentral:rRNA from 1 species
UGUUCGUUAUUUAGGGCGCAUGGUGGAUGCCUUGGCAUGCUGAGCCGAUGAAGGACGUGAAAGGCUGCGUUAAGCCUCGGGGAGUUGUCAAUUGAGCGUUGAUCCGAGGAUGUCCGAAUGGGGAAACCUGGCACCUGUUAUGGGGUGUUACCUUGCAGUGAAUUCAUAGCUGUUGUGGGGGUUACGCGGGGAAGUGAAACAUCUCAGUACCCGUAGGAGAAGAAAAUAAUAAUGAUUCUGCUAGUAGUGGCGAACGAACGUGGAUGAGGCUAAACCGUGUGCAUGUGAUACCUGGUAGGGGUUGUGUGUGCGGUGUUGUGGGCCCUGAUGAGGAUGGCUACUGACGUCCUGCCUGCGCAUUGUUGUUAGGUGAAGUGGUGUGGAAACGCCUGCCGUAGAAGGUGAUAGUCCUGUAGCUGAAGAUGAUGGUGUGUGGGUUGUUGGGUUGCCCGAGUAGCAGCGGGCUCGUGGAAUCUGCUGUGAAUCUGCCGGGACCACCCGGUAAGCCUAAAUACUCAGUGUGACCGAUAGUGGAUAGUACCGUGAGGGAAUGGUGAAAAGUACCCCGGGAGGGGAGUGAAAUAGUUCCUGAAACCAUGUGCUUACAAUCCGUCAGAGCACUUUUUGUGUGUGAUGGCGUGCCUUUUGAAGAAUGAGCCUGCGAGUCAGCGGCAUGUCGCGAGGUUAACCCGUGUGGGGUAGCCGUAGGGAAACCGAAUCCUAAUGGGGUGUUUAGUGGCAUGUCCUGGACCCGAAGCGGGGUGAUCUACCCAUGGCCAGUGUGAAGCAGCAGUAAGAUGCUGUGGAGGCGCGAACCCACGUAGGUUGAAAACUGCGGGGAUGAGCUGUGGGUAGGGGUGAAAGGCCAAUCAAACUCCGUGAUAGCUGGUUCUCCCCGAAAUGCAUUUAGGUGCAGCGUCGCAUUAGCUUGGUGGAGGUAGAGCUACUGGUUGGUUGAGCGGGACUACAAUCUUAGCAAUGUCAGCCA